UGUCUUUACUCAUUGUGUUGUUUGGUUAAAGCAGUGUUUGGCAUUUGUGUGUUUCGAUGCAGCAUCACGCUUUUAGUAUUUCACUCUUCUGCCUUGUCAGUGGUGUGUUGCUAAUAUUUGCACUUCCUGUCAGUGUGUGAAUGUGGUAAUGUGUUAAACCUGCAGUGUGUGUGAUCAGUAUAGUGUGUGGAUUUGGGUCCUCAGUAAGAUUGGUCAUGUCACUGAAGGAAGAAUGCAGGUGUGUUUUCUUCUCCUCCUCCUUAUACAGCUUCAUGUCACUGAAGGCUGCAGUCUGAAAGGAAAUGGAGAGACAGAAGAGAUCACUGCAUACACAGGAGACUCAGUACUGCUGCCCUGCUCCUGCACUGAGCUCCACAGCAAACCUGAGACAUUCACAUGGAAGA